rnacentral:rRNA from 1 species
CCUACGGGAGGCAGCAGUAGGGAAUUUUCCGCAAUGGGCGAAAGCCUGACGGAGCAAUACCGCGUGAGGGAUGACUGCCUGUGGGUUGUAAACCUCUUUUCUCAAGGAAGAAGUCCUGACGGUACUUGAGGAAUAAGCAUCGGCUAACUCUGUGCCAGCAGCCGCGGUAAUACAGAGGAUGCAAGCGUUAUCCGGAAUCACUGGGCAUAAAGCGUCUGUAGGUGGUUUGGUAAGUCUGCUGUUAAAGACUGGGGCUCAACCCCAGAAAAGCAGUGGAAACUGCCAAACUUGAGUGUGGUAGAGGUAGAGGGAAUUCCUAGUGUAGCGGUGAAAUGCGUAGAUAUUAGGAAGAACACCAAUGGCGAAAGCACUCUACUGGACCAUAACUGACACUGAGAGACGACAGCUAGGGGAGCAAAUGGGAUUAGAUACCCCAGUAGUCCUAGCCGUAAACGAUGGAUACUAGAUGUUGCACGUAUUAACCCGUGCAGUAUCGUAGCUAAGGCGUUAAGUAUCCCGCCUGGGAAGUACGCUCGCAAGAGUGAAACUCAAAGGAAAUUGACGGCUGNGAGNGCGACGACGACGACGAGGAGGAGG